GGGGUUGUGGCUCAGCGGCAGAGCGCUCACCUAGCACGUGCAAGGUGCUGGGUUUGAUCCUCAGCACCACA
rnacentral:tRNA from 1 species